GGCUGGUCCGAAGGCGGAGGGUUAGUCACAAUUGAUUGCUUCAGUCAGUUACAGAACUCCUUGUUUCUUCUCUCCCCUCUCCCACCGCUGAACUUGACUAGCCUUUU
ensembl:Y_RNA Y_RNA Y RNA